AAGUGCUGUGGUUUUUGUUUCCUCUGUUGUGGCCUAUGCUCCUGAGAUAGCUUUGGGUCCCUACAAUGUCAUCAAGACAGCCCUCCUGGGGCUCACCAGAACCUUGUCUUUGGAGCUGGCACCAAAGGGCAUCCGAGGGAACUGCCUGGCACCAGGAGUAAUCAGGACCCAGUUCAGCCAAGUGGUAUGGAAUGAUAAAAAUUUUCUAGAGAAUGUCGUGAAACAACAUAGACUUACAAGG